rnacentral:rRNA from 1 species
UACGACUACAUAUCAGGCAUAUCAAUAAGCGGAGGAAAAGAAACUAACAAGGAUUCCCUUAGUAACGGCGAGUGAAGCGGGAAGAGCUCAAAUUUGAAAUCUUCAAGGUUUUACCUUGACGAAUUGUAGUUUAAAGAAGUGUUUUCUGUUGAAGUUUUGGUAAAAGUUCUUUGGAAUAGGACAUCAUAGAGGGUGAGAAUCCCGUAUUUGACCAUUAUUUUCAGCUGUGUGAUACACUUUCAAAGAGUCGGAUUGUUUGGGAAUGCAGUCCAAAAUGGGUGGUAAAUUUCAUCUAAAGCUAAAUAUUGGCGAGAGACCGAUAGCGAACAAGUACCGUGAGGGAAAGAUGAAAAGAACUUUGAAAAGAGAGUUAAACAGUACGUGAAAUUGUCAAAAGGGAAGCGUUUGACACCAGUGUUGUUUCUACGAAAAUCAAUUUAUGAUGGCUUGAUGCUAAGCUUUAAGACUUUAUCCGCUUGUUGUUUAGUUUUCUUGUCUUUGUGAAUGCACUUUUCGUGGAACAAGUCAACAUCAAUUUCUUUUGUUGUAAAAGGGUCAGAUGGAAGGUGGCUUCGGCUUCGGAUGAAAGUGUUUAUAGCCUUUUAUCUCUGCAGUCGGAGAGACUGAGGUCUGCAGCGUAGAUCCUUCGGGGUUAGAUACAGUCGGUGCUAAGCUAUCAGCUUUUCAUAGACAACUUGUUGACUAUGUUUAGUCUUGUGACUUACCCGCUUAUGCUAUUUUACCUACGCUUAGGAUGUUGAGCGCAUGUCUCUCUCU